AGUGAACGCUGGCGGUAGGCCUAACACAUGCAAGUCGAACGGCAGCACAGUAAGAGCUUGCUCUUACGGGUGGCGAGUGGCGGACGGGUGAGGAAUACAUCGGAAUCUACUUUUUCGUGGGGGAUAACGUAGGGAAACUUACGCUAAUACCGCAUACGACCUACGGGUGAAAGCAGGGGAUCUUCGGACCUUGCGCGAUUGAAUGAGCCGAUGUCGGAUUAGCUAGUUGGCGGGGUAAAGGCCCACCAAGGCGACGAUCCGUAGCUGGUCUGAGAGGAUGAACAGCCACAAUGGAACUGAGGCACGGGCCCGACUCCUAAGGGAGGCCGCAGUGGGGAAUAUUGGACAAUGGGCGGAAACCUGAUCCAGCCAAACCGGGGGGGGGAAAGAAGGCUUCGGGUUGUAAAACCCUUUUGUUGGGGAAAAAAAGCAGCCAGGUUAAACCCCGGCUUUCUGACGGUAACCAAAAAAUAAGCCACGGCUAACUUCGUG
rnacentral:rRNA from 1 species